rnacentral:misc_RNA from 1 species
AAGGAGCACCACGAGAAACACCCCAAAUUGGUGGGGUGUGAGCCGUGAGGGGUUCUCGUCUGUAGUGGACGAGGGUCGGGUGCACAACAACAGGCAAUCGCCAGACACACUAUUGGGCCCUGAGACAACACUCGGCCGGCUUGGUCGAAGUGGUGUCCCUCCGUCUUGGUGGCGGGGUGUGGUGUUUGAGUAUUGGAUAGUGGUUGCGAGCAUCUAAAUGAACGCGUCGCCGGCAACGGUUACGUGUUCGUUUUGUCUAAAUUUUUCUUUUGGUUUUUGUGU